rnacentral:rRNA from 1 species
CCUACGGGGGGCAGCAGUGGGGAAUAUUGGACAAUGGGCGAAAGCCUGAUCCAGCCAUGCCGCGUGUGUGAAGAAGGCCUUCGGGUUGUAAAGCACUUUCAGUGGGGAAGAAAGCCUUGGGGCUAAUACCCUCGAGGAAGGACAUCACCCACAGAAGAAGCACCGGCAACUCCGUGCCAGCAGCCGCGGUAAUACGGAGGGUGCGAGCGUUAAUCGGAAUUACUGGGCGUAAAGCGCGCGUAGGCGGUCUGAUAAGCCGGUUGUGAAAGCCCCGGGCUCAACCUGGGAACGGCAUCCGGAACUGUCAGGCUAGAGUGCAGGAGAGGAAGGUAGAAUUCCCGGUGUAGCGGUGAAAUGCGUAGAGAUCGGGAGGAAUACCAGUGGCGAAGGCGGCCUUCUGGACUGACACUGACGCUGAGGUGCGAAAGCGUGGGUAGCAAACAGGAUUAGAUACCCGAGUAGUC